AUUGAACGCUGGCGGCAGGCCUAACACAUGCAAGUCGAGCGGAGCGGCGGACGGGUGGGUAAUGCCUAGGAAUCUGCCUGGUAGUGGGGGAUAACGUCCGGCAACGGGCGCUAAUACCGCAUACUAUCAGAUGAGCCUAGGUCGGAUUAGCUCGGUGGUGGGGUAAAGGGCUACCAAGGCGACGAUCCGUAACUGGUCUGGGAGGAUGAUCAGUCAAACCGGAACUGAUAGGCGGGCCAGACGCCUAAGGCAGGUAGGAGUGGGGAAUGUUGGAGAAUGGGCGAAAGGCGGAGCCAGCCAUGCCGGGUGUGUGAAGAAGGGGUUCGGAGUGUAAAGCUCGUAAAGUUGGUAGGCGGUACCAACAGAAGAAGCACCGGCUAACUUCGUGCCAGCAGCCGCGGUAAUAC
rnacentral:rRNA from 1 species